rnacentral:misc_RNA from 1 species
UGUGACCAGACGCGAGUAGCCUCCCUCGGCGGCCUKGCCGUCCUCGUAGCCGCAUCCUGGACACUAGUAACACGCGUGCUUUUGCCUUUCACUUAUAGAGUGGGGUAGUCUCGCGAAUGUGCUACGUUGACCUCUGUGCGGCUGUCCGUUGGACACAAACACAUCAGUUUGAGAUCAAAACAGGUGCCUAGCCACCUUGUAUGAUUCUCAAACCGAUCACAAAUCGAUUAGGCGCCCCGGCACCUGAUCGGUUUGUGAUCAGUCGCUUUGGGAGUCCCUUUGAGAUAAACAGCUGGUGUCCGGUCCCUUCAAGAUCAGGAAACGGGUGCCUUGUCACUUCGAGAUCAAAUACGGAUGC